CAACAACAGGUUUGUAGGUUAGCUUCAUGUACUCCUUAAUGGGUAUAAGCCUAAUCUCAGCAGCUACAAGAAGACCGAGCGUUCCCUGAGACCAAGGAACGGCAUAGAAUAGAUCAGAGAAUUCGUUGUCCUUGGUCGCUCUAACAAGAGUACCAUCAGCCAACACAAUUUCGUAGGCCACCACAGUAUCAGAGAACAGGCCAUAUUUGUGGGAGCUUCCUUCUAUUCCAUAGCCAUUGAUGAGACCACCGACAGUGAGAUCAUCAAGUUCGGCCACGACAGCAAGGGAAAGAUUCAUGGGUACGGUCGCCCUUGAGAUCUGUCC
rnacentral:lncRNA from 1 species